AUGCCGCCAGCGCCGGCCUUCCCGCCGGUGGCGGCAUGUCCUUUCUUUCCGGCCCCAACCGGCGGAAAGGAGGGCGGCAUCGCCUCUCGCCGGCAGCAGCUGCCCCCGCCGCCAACGGUCACGGUCAACGGUCGUUGGUUCGAACGCCUUUUUCAACGGUCRCUCUCGGCUCUGCCCCCCCCCGGCACGCACGCACCGAGGCUUCGGCACAGCCGCCCCCCGGCCCCCGCCGACCAAGCGCGCGUAGCACCGGCACUAAACAGCCCCCGCGGCCGGCGGCAGCACCUCGGGGGGGCUCUGCCGGCCCAGCCUCACCCCAGCGGCCGCCGCGGGGACCCGGCGCGACCCAGACUCAGCAGCAGCUCCCGCAGGCGCAGCGCCUCCCACAGGAACCAUCGCCCUCGCCGCCGGGGAGGGCGGCGAGCAGCGCGCAAGGAGGAGGGCGCAGCGCAGGCGAAGCGGCGCAGUGCAGGCGGCGGGGAAGACGAGGCGACGCGGGGCCGAGCCCUUCCCCCGACGACCGCAGCGCCGGGCUCCCCCGGCAUGGCCGGCUCGGGCCGCCCCCGCAACCGCCCCUCUCUCCUGCGGGAGCGGCGCGUUGGUGCAGCCCGCGGAAGUCCCCGCACCCUCUCGGCGGGUGGCGGGCGAGGGGUGUCCCCCCGCGCAGAGACCCGCGUGGGCAGCCGCGGCCGCGGCGUCGUCACGGGCCGCGGCGCCGCCCCGCGCCCGCAGGCGGCGCCCUGCCCGCGCCGCCGCCUCCGGUGCUUGCUCCGGCGUGGCGCAUCGGCGGCGGUGAGAGCAUGUGGCCCGGUGGGCGCUGCCGCUCAGCCCCCUAACGGCCGCCUCGGACCGGACCGGACCGGACCGGACCGGACCGGACCGGACCAUCGCCUCCCCCCCCACCCGUCCGCCGCUGCUGCCAGACCUCCGUGCUCCGCGGGGCGGCGGCGGCCGCCGCGGGAGGCGGUGCUCUGCCCCAGCGCUUUGAUUUUGAGAGGCAGAAGAGGUCGUUUGGGAGGGUUUCUUCGCCUCAGCCGGCUCUUCUGCCUGUUCGCGUUUCUGUGUUGA
rnacentral:lncRNA from 1 species